UACGAAGGGGGCUAGCGUUGUUCGGAAUCACUGGGCGUAAAGGGCGCGUAGGCGGCCGAUCAAGUCGGGGGUGAAAGCCUGUGGCUCAACCCCAGAAUGGCCCUCGAUACUGGAUGGCUCGAGACCGGAAGAGGUUGGUGGAACUGCGAGUGUAGAGGUGAAAUUCGUAGAUAUUCGCAAGAACACCAGUGGCGAAGGCGGCCAACUGGUCCGGUUCUGACGCUGAGGCGCGAAAGCGUGGGGAGCAAACAGG
rnacentral:rRNA from 1 species